GCAGAACGCGAAGAACCUUACCAAGGCUUAAAUGGGAAACGACGGAUCUGGAAACAGGUCUUCCUUCGGGCGUUUUCAAGGUGCUGCAUGGUUGUCGUCAGCUCGUGCCGUGAGGUGUCAGGUUAAGUCCUAUAACGAGCGCAAACCCCUGUUGUUAGUUGCCAGCGAGUCAAGUACGGGAACGUACUAGCAAGACUGCCGGUGCAAACCGUGAGGAAGGUGGGGAUGACGUCAAAUCAUCACGGCCCUUACGCCUUGGGCUACACACGUGCUACAAUGGACGGUACAGAGAGCAGCCAGUGGGUGACCACGAGCGAAUCUACAAAACCGUUCUCAGUUCGGAUCGGAGUCUGCAACUCGACUCCGUGAAGCUGGAGUCGCUAGUAAUCGGAUAUCAGCCAUGAUCCGGUGAAUACGUUCCCGGGUCUUGUACACACCG
rnacentral:rRNA from 1 species